CUUGGAAGCUAAAAAUUCUUCCUGCUUUCUGAAGAGUGGCAAAAUACUGACUAAUCCACCAAUAUCCUGCUCCUUCAGCAGUCCAGGAGCCAGUGUCUCAACCCUGACUUCAGGACUUCAUCUCUGCUAUGGAAAUUCGGCCAUUGCCUGGGAUGCCCACAUUUUGCUCUGCAGUUCUGUGCCUUGAAGAAAAUCCCUCACGUAUUUCGCUCCUGGGGACAACUUGGAGGUGGCCAGUCAGAACUAAUUAUAAGGGGUAAUGCAAUCUAAGGUGAACUGAAUAACUGGAACUUCAGAGGGAAAAGAAACUAAAAGAUUCGUGUAUUUCAAAUAAUGCUACUAAAUUACCUGGAAUAGAGCCAUCUGGACAAAUUCCAUGUUAAUACAUGAAAGAAAGACAAGCAAUUUCCUUGGAGUAUACCUG
rnacentral:lncRNA from 1 species